UACGUAGGGCGCAAGCGUUGUCCGGAAUUAUUGGGCGUAAAGAGCUCGUAGGCGGCCUGUUACGUCUGCUGUGAAAUCCCGGGGCUUAACCCCGGGCGUGCAGUGGAUACGGGCAGGCUGGAGGCAGGCAGGGGAGAACGGAAUUCCCGGUGUAGCGGUGAAAUGCGCAGAGACCCGGAGGAACACCAGUGGCGAAGGCGGCGUCCUGGCCUGCGACUGACGCUGUGGCGCGAAAGCUAGGGGAGCGAACGGG
rnacentral:rRNA from 1 species